UUUGAGAUGGCCUCGCGUCCGAUUAGCUAGUUGGUGAGGUAACGGCCCACCAAGGCGACGAUCGGUAGCCGGACUGAGAGGUUGAACGGCCACAUUGGGACUGAGACACGGCCCAGACUCCUACGGGAGGCAGCAGUGGGGAAUAUUGCACAAUGGGGGAAACCCUGAUGCAGCAACGCCGCGUGAAGGAAGACGGUUUUCGGAUUGUAAACUUCUUUUCUUAGUGAAGAAGAAAGUGACGGUAGCUAAGGAAUAAGCAUCGGCUAACUAC
rnacentral:rRNA from 1 species